UCAUUCCAUAGCUCAGUUGGUAGAGCAUGAGACUCUAAAUCUCAAGCUCACGAGUUCAAGCCCCACGUUGGACAGAA